rnacentral:misc_RNA from 1 species
GAUGAAAAAUGUACAAUGCCUACUUAAAUUUUCUUUUAGCAGUCAUUCUGCGUAUAAAUAAUUUAGCUAAACAAUGUAAAAUAGUUCACAAGAGUGACAAGAAACCAGCUUUGUUAAGAGCCCAUCUACUGCUAAUUCGUUACUUACUAGCCAUUGGUGCAAUACUAUUUUUGAGGAGACAUUAGCUUAUUUUCUUCAGAAUCAUGCUUCAUUGUAGCAUCUCCACCCAUUAAUUCCUGGAAUCCUUCGACUUUUACAGGGGGAGCCCUGGCCAUUCCCAUAUUCGGUGACUGCACUUGAGGAAUUUGAAGAGAAGACAUAGG